AACGAGGCCGACCUGCGGCUGAGUUACCUGCGGAGGGAUCAUUACUGAGUGUAAAAACUCCCAAACCCAUUGUGAACAUACCACUGUUGCUUCGGCGGAUACGCCCCGGGCGCGCUCUUCACAGGGCGUGCCCCGGAACCAGGCGCCCGCCGGGGGACCGAAACUCUUGUUUUCUUAGGAUCUCUGAGUGUGAUUAUUAAAUAAAUCAAAACUUUUAACAACGGAUCUCAGAUCGGAAGA
rnacentral:misc_RNA from 1 species